GAUGAACGCUGGCGGCGUGCCUAAUACAUGCAAGUCGAGCGAACAGACGAGGAGCUUGCUCCUCUGACGUUAGCGGCGGACGGGUGAGUAACAGGUGGAUAACCUACCUAUAAGACUGGGAUAAGUUCGGGAAACCGGAGCUAAUACCGGAUAAUAUAUUGAACCGCAUGGUUCAAUAGUGAAAUACGGGUGUGCUGUCACUGAUAGAUGGAUCCGCGCUGCAUGAGCUAGUGGGUAAGGAAACGGCUUACCAGGGCAACAUGGCGUAGCAGGCCUGCGAGGGUGAUCGGGCCCGCUGGGAGUGAGGCCCGCUCCAGACUCCUGCGGGAGGCCGCAGUCGGGAAUCUUCCGGAAUGGGCGAAUGCCUGACGGAGCAACGCCGCGUGAGUCAUGAAGGUCUUCUGAUCGUAAACCUCUGUUAUUAGGGAAACACAAAUGUGUAAGUAACUAUGCACGUCUUGACGGUACCUAAUCAGAAAGCCACGGCUAACUACGUG
rnacentral:rRNA from 1 species